AGAGUUUGAUCUUGGCUCAGAGUGAACGCUGGCGGCGUGCCUCUCACAUGCAAGUCGUACGGGCUUCGGGUGGCAACACCCGAAGUCAGUGGCGAACGGGUCUGUCUCGCGUGGGUCUCCUCCCCCCGAGUCUGGGAUCUCCUCGCGAAAGCGGGGCUCUUACCGCAUCUUACCCUGGCGCACAAGCGUUCAGGGUCAAAGCCGCAAGGCGCUUGGGGAUGGGCCCGCGUCCUAUCAGCUCUUUGGUCUGGUCUUGGCCUACCAAGGCGAUCUCGGGUCUCCGGCCUCUCUGGGUGUCCGGCCACACUGGGACUCUCUCACGGCCCAGACUCCUACGGGAGGCAGCAGUCUGGAAUCUUGCGCAAUGGGCGAAAGCCUCUCGCAGCGACGCCGCGUGGGGGAUCUCUGCCUUCGGGUUGUCUACCCCUGUCAGAGGGGACGAAGCCCCGCAAGGGGUUCUCGGUACCCUCAGAGGAAGCCCCGGCUCUCUACGUGCCAGCAGCCGCGGUCUUGCGUCUGGGGCAAGCGUUACUCGGAAUUACUGGGCGUCUCUGGUGUGUCUGCGGCCGGAUCUGUCGAAGAUCUCUUCCCAUGGCUCAACCAUGGAAUUGUCUUCGAUACUGUCCGGCUUCUGGGUCUUGGAGGAGAGCGGAAUUCCCGGUGGAGCGGUCUCUUGCGUCUAUAUCGGGAGGAACACCGGAGGCGAAGGCGGCUCUCUAUGCUACUCCUCUCGCUCUGGCACGGAAGCUCUGGGAGCAAACGGGAUUCUAUACCCCGGUCUUCCUCUCCUUCUACGAUGGGCACUCUAUAUUCCCGCAGUUUUGCGGGAGUGUCGAAGCUCUCGCGUUCUGUGCCCCGCCUGGGGAGUACGGCCGCAAGGCUCUCUCUCAAAGGAAUUCUCGGGGGCCCGCACAAGCGGUGGAGCAUGUGGUUUCUUUCGAUGCUACGCGAAGAACCUUACCUGGGCUUCUACUGCUGGUGGUCUGAGCCCGAAAGGGUCUCGACCCUGGUUCUCCAGGGAGCCAGCAGAGGUGCUGCAUGGCUGUCGUCAGCUCGUGUCGUCUCUUGUUGGGUUCUGUCCCGCAACGAGCGCAACCCCUGCCCUUCUUUGCCAGCGGGUCUUGCCGGGCACUCUCUGGGGACUGCCUGGGAUCUCCAGGAGGAAGGCGGGGAUCUCGUCAAGUCAGCAUGGCCUUUAUGUCCAGGGCUACACACGUGCUACAAUGGGCGGUACAAAGGGAUGCAAAGCCGCGAGGCCGAGCUCUUCCCCAAAGCCGCUCUCAGUUCGGAUCGCAGGCUGCAACUCGCCUGCGUCUCUGCGGAAUCGCUCUUCUUCGCGGAUCAGCCACGCCGCGGUCUAUACGUUCUCGGGCCUUGUACACACCGCCCGUCACAUCACGAAAGUCGGUCGUACCCGAAGUCGCUCUGCCAACCCGCAA
rnacentral:rRNA from 1 species